UACGUAGGGUGCGAGCGUUGUCCGGAAUUACUGGGCGUAAAGCGCACGUAGGCGGCUUUGCAAGUUAGAGGUGAAAGCCCGGGGCUCAACCCCGGAAUUGCCUUUAAAACUGCAUCGCUAGAAUUGUGGAGAGGUAAGUGGAAUUCCGAGUGUAGAGGUGAAAUUCGUAGAUAUUCGGAAGAACACCAGUGGCGAAGGCGACUUACUGGACACAUAUUGACGCUGAGGUGCGAAAGCGUGGGGAGCAAACAGG
rnacentral:rRNA from 1 species